CCUGAGUAAAAAUCAACAGCCAGACAUCGAAACAACUGAGCCACCCAAGCACCCCAGGCUAUAGUGGAAAAGGAAAAAGAGUGGGAGAAGAUUCCAGAGGACUGCAGAGAAUCUGGGACUGCACUGAGGAAAGCUUCUGGAGCUAACCCCACCCUGUCAGGCAAAUGAGUACCACUAACAAGCCAUGUGAUGAAAGUGAAUCCUAUAUUGUCACUGCUACUAUUCCAGCCAACAUAUCCAAAGAAUCUCGGGUUGCCAUAAUUAACACAGAGGAUCGCCUCGGACCCUACGUACCUAGACCUAGGAUCAUGAAAGUCAGCGAAUGCUGGCAGUGACAGCCUGAACUGUUACUGCCACUUCACAUCCUCUUUCUGAGCAACGUUGUAGUUCCCCCCACAACAAUAAAAACUGUACUUCCUUGACCUUUGAGUUCAGCUU